rnacentral:rRNA from 1 species
UUAAGUUAUUAAGGGCGCACGGUGGAUGCCUUGGCACUAGAAGCCGAUGAAGGACGUUACUAACGACGAUAUGCUUUGGGGAGCUGUAAGUAAGCUUUGAUCCAGAGAUUUCCGAAUGGGGAAACCCAGCAUGAGUUAUGUCAUGUUAUCGAUAUGUGAAUACAUAGCAUAUCAGAAGGCACACCCGGAGAACUGAAACAUCUUAGUACCCGGAGGAAGAGAAAGAAAAUUCGAUUCCCUUAGUAGCGGCGAGCGAAACGGGAAGAGCCCAAACCAAAAAGCUUGCUUGUUGGGGUUGUAGGACACUCUAUACGGAGUUACAAAGGACGACAUUAGACGAAUCAUCUGGAAAGAUGAAUCAAAGAAGGUAAUAAUCCUGUAGUCGAAAAUGUUGUCUCUCUUGAGUGGAUCCUGAGUACGACGGAGCACGUGAAAUUCCGUCGGAAUCUGGGAGGACCAUCUCCUAAGGCUAAAUACUCUCUAGUGACCGAUAGUGAACCAGUACCGUGAGGGAAAGGUGAAAAGCACCCCGGAAGGGGAGUGAAAUAGAACCUGAAACCGUGUGCUUACAAGUAGUCAGAGCCCGUUAAUGGGUGAUGGCGUGCCUUUUGUAGAAUGAACCGGCGAGUUACGAUUUGAUGCAAGGUUAAGCAGUAAAUGUGGAGCCGUAGCGAAAGCGAGUCUGAAUAGGGCGUUUAGUAUUUGGUCGUAGACCCGAAACCAGGUGAUCUACCCUUGGUCAGGUUGAAGUUCAGGUAACACUGAAUGGAGGACCGAACCGACUUACGUUGAAAAGUGAGCGGAUGAACUGAGGGUAGCGGAGAAAUUCCAAUCGAACCUGGAGAUAGCUGGUUCUCUCCGAAAUAGCUUUAGGGCUAGCCUCAAGUGAUGAUUAUUGGAGGUAGAGCACUGUUUGGACGAGGGGCCCCUCUCGGGUUACCGAAUUCAGACAAACUCCGAAUGCCAAUUAAUUUAACUUGGGAGUCAGAACAUGGGUGAUAAGGUCCGUGUUCGAAAGGGAAACAGCCCAGACCACCAGCUAAGGUCCCAAAAUAUAUGUUAAGUGGAAAAGGAUGUGGCGUUGCCCAGACAACUAGGAUGUUGGCUUAGAAGCAGCCAUCAUUUAAAGAGUGCGUAAUAGCUCACUAGUCGAGUGACACUGCGCCGAAAAUGUACCGGGGCUAAACAUAUUACCGAAGCUGUGGAUUGUCCUUUGGACAAUGGUAGGAGAGCGUUCUAAGGGCGUUGAAGCAUGAUCGUAAGGACAUGUGGAGCGCUUAGAAGUGAGAAUGCCGGUGUGAGUAGCGAAAGACGGGUGAGAAUCCCGUCCACCGAUUGACUAAGGUUUCCAGAGGAAGGCUCGUCCGCUCUGGGUUAGUCGGGUCCUAAGCUGAGGCCGACAGGCGUAGGCGAUGGAUAACAGGUUGAUAUUCCUGUACCACCUAUAAUCGUUUUUAAUCGAUGGGGGGACGCAGUAGGAUAGGCGAAGCGUGCGAUUGGAUUGCACGUCUAAGCAGUAAGGCUGAGUAUUAGGCAAAUCCGGUACUCGUUAAGGCUGAGCUGUGAUGGGGAGAAGACAUUGAGUCUUCGAGUCGUUGAUUUCACACUGCCGAGAAAAGCCUCUAGAUAGAAAAUAGGUGCCCGUACCGCAAACCGACACAGGUAGUCAAGAUGAGAAUUCUAAGGUGAGCGAGCGAACUCUCGUUAAGGAACUCGGCAAAAUGACCCCGUAACUUCGGGAGAAGGGGUGCUCUUUAGGGUUAACGCCCAGAAGAGCCGCAGUGAAUAGGCCCAAGCGACUGUUUAUCAAAAACACAGGUCUCUGCUAAACCGUAAGGUGAUGUAUAGGGGCUGACGCCUGCCCGGUGCUGGAAGGUUAAGAGGAGUGGUUAGCUUCUGCGAAGCUACGAAUCGAAGCCCCAGUAAACGGCGGCCGUAACUAUAACGGUCCUAAGGUAGCGAAAUUCCUUGUCGGGUAAGUUCCGACCCGCACGAAAGGCGUAACGAUUUGGGCACUGUCUCAACGAGAGACUCGGUGAAAUCAUAGUACCUGUGAAGAUGCAGGUUACCCGCGACAGGACGGAAAGACCCCGUGGAGCUUUACUGUAGCCUGAUAUUGAAAUUCGGCACAGCUUGUACAGGAUAGGUAGGAGCCUUUGAAACGUGAGCGCUAGCUUACGUGGAGGCGCUGGUGGGAUACUACCCUAGCUGUGUUGGCUUUCUAACCCGCACCACUUAUCGUGGUGGGAGACAGUGUCAGGCGGGCAGUUUGACUGGGGCGGUCGCCUCCUAAAAGGUAACGGAGGCGCUCAAAGGUUCCCUCAGAAUGGUUGGAAAUCAUUCAUAGAGUGUAAAGGCAUAAGGGAGCUUGACUGCGAGACCUACAAGUCGAGCAGGGUCGAAAGACGGACUUAGUGAUCCGGUGGUUCCGCAUGGAAGGGCCAUCGCUCAACGGAUAAAAGCUACCCCGGGGAUAACAGGCUUAUCUCCCCCAAGAGUUCACAUCGACGGGGAGGUUUGGCACCUCGAUGUCGGCUCAUCGCAUCCUGGGGCUGUAGUCGGUCCCAAGGGUUGGGCUGUUCGCCCAUUAAAGCGGUACGCGAGCUGGGUUCAGAACGUCGUGAGACAGUUCGGUCCCUAUCCGUCGUGGGCGUAGGAAAUUUGAGAGGAGCUGUCCUUAGUACGAGAGGACCGGGAUGGACAUACCUCUGGUGUACCAGUUGUCGUGCCAACGGCAUAGCUGGGUAGCUAUGUGUGGACGGGAUAAGUGCUGAAAGCAUCUAAGCAUGAAGCCCCCCUCAAGAUGAGAUUUCCCAACUUCGGUUAUAAGAUCCCUCAAAGAUGAUGAGGUUAAUAGGUUCGAGGUGGAAGCAUGGUGACAUGUGGAGCUGACGAAUACUAAUCGAUCGAAGACUUAAUCAA